rnacentral:rRNA from 1 species
GGUAUGGGAUGAGCUUGCGUCCGAUUAGCUAGUUGGCGGGGCAACGGCCCACCAAGGCGACGAUCGGUAGCCGGCCUGAGAGGGUGAUCGGCCACAUUGGGACUGAGAUACGGCCCAGACUCCUACGGGAGGCAGCAGUAGGGAAUAUUGCACAAUGGGGGAAACCCUGAUGCAGCAACGCCACGUGUGGGAAGAAGCAUUUCGGUGUGUAAACCACUGUCAUGAGGGAAUAAGGCCCGCCUACGGACGGGAUUGAAUGUACCUUGAGAGGAAGCACCGGCAAACUUCGUGCCAGCAGCCGCGGUAAUACGAGGGGUGCAAGCGUUGUUCGGAAUUACUGGGCGUAAAGGGAGCGUAGGCGGAGAUUCAAGCGGAUUGUACAAUCCCGGGGCCCCACCCCGGCUCUGCAGUCCGAACUGGAUCUCUUGGAUAGUUCAGGGGCAGGC